CACGUAGGGUGCGAGCGUUGUCCGGAAUUAUUGGGCGUAAAGAGCUCGUAGGCGGUGUGUCGCGUCGGCCGUGAAAACCUGCAGCUUAACUGUGGGCGUGCGGUCGAUACGGGCAUCACUGGAGUUCGGCAGGGGAGACUGGAAUUCCUGGUGUAGCGGUGAAAUGCGCAGAUAUCAGGAGGAACACCGGUGGCGAAGGCGGGUCUCUGGGCCGAUACUGACGCUGAGACACGAAAGCGUGGGUAGCAAACAGG
rnacentral:rRNA from 1 species